UCAAGUUGAGUAAGUUCACACGCAUGUUGUGCUUGUGCGUCUGCAACUGAACAGCAAGAUCUGUUACCAAGAACAGCCGCUUGUUGAAGGCGAGCGGCAGCAAAGUUGUUCUCGCCUACGGUCUACGGCGACGGAAAUGAUUGGCUCGCUGAAGUGAGGAAAAGAGAAACAUGCUGCUUUUGCGAAAACGAUUGUUCCGUCUGAUGCGGCGUACCUUUCCUUCAUUGGAGUACGCUGAUCAUGAGGCAGUCAGAAGGCGGCUCAGCAUUGUUUACGCUAUCGUCGCCUGGCAGGGCUUUGGUUUGACCCUGUAUAUGAUCUACCAAUACAGGGCACCGAAAAAUGAGCAGGGAGUUGACUACGUGAGGCUCAUAGCGAAUGCAGAGAAAGAGGCUGACGGCGGCACGGUCUUUACUCUCAACCGAGGCAACGUUGCCAGGCAGCAACUUAGUAAAGAAGACCUCGCCAAGAUUCGAGAAACAUCAGAAGAAACUUCGAAGGAAUGAAGCACCAGUGGUGACAAAUGCAAAGAGUUACAACAUAAGAAGGACAUAUGAUAGACUGUGAAUACAUGUUUCAUCACGGUGUCACGAAUGAAGUCGAAACGUUUCCUGUACAACAUUUAUUGACACAAGCCAACAAGUGCAGGUUCAGGUGAACCCUGCUGCAUCAAACACUGAAUAAAGCUGCAUUCUUAACCAAA